AUGGCCUUUCGCCACUGAUCCGACGCCCUGGAGCUGCCCGACUUCUCUAUGCUCAAGAGGCUGACCCAAGACCAGCUCAUCUACCUGCUGGAGCAGCUUCCUGGGAAGAAGGAUCUGUUCAUCGAGGCAGAUCUCAUGAGCCCUUUGGAUAGAAUUGCCAGCGUCUCCAUCCUGAAGCAACAUGAAGUAGACAAGCUGUACAAGGUGGAGAGCAAGCCAGCCCUCCCUCGGCUCUAAUAAACAACUGUGCUUCUUGGCACAGACCCCGAAUCAAAAAUAUGCGCUACAUUGCCAAUCUUGUCAAUGCUGACAAAUUGGCUGGACAAGCUCAAAAUACAAAGUGAUCUUAAGCCCUCAGAAGUUUUACUCCUGUGAAAUGGUGCUUGAGGAAGAGGGAGUCUAUGGAGAUGUGAGCUGUGAUGAAUGGGCCUUCUCUCUACUGCCUCUUGAUGUGGAUCUGCUCAGCAUGGAACUGCCAGAAUUUUUCAGGGACUACUUCGUGGAAGUAGAUCAGCGUUGGAUCAGCACUGUGGCUCAGGCCCUACACCUUCUCAGCAUUCUCUAUGGAUCCUUUCUGAAUUGCUACGGGAUUGGCAGAUGCGCCAAGAUGUCGUAUGAACUGUGGAGGAAACUGGAGGACGAGGACAGUGAGACCAAAGGCCGUAGAGCAGAGGUUGGACAUGUCUUUCUCCUGGACAGAGAUGUGGACUUUGUGACAGCACUUUGCUCCUGGGUCGUUUAGGAGGGCCUGGUAGAUGACACUUUCCACGUCAAGUGUGGGAGUGUCGACUUUGGCCCGGAAGUCACGUCCUCUGACAAGAGCCUGAAGGUGCUCCUCAAUGCUGAGGACAAGGUGUUUAAUGAGAUUCGUAAUGAGCAUUUCCCCGAUGUCUUUGGCUCCUUGAGCCAGAAGGCCCAGAACUUGCAGGCCCAGUAUGAUCGCUGGAGAGGCAUGGUCAUAAAGCAGAUGAAGAAUUUCAUGUCCCAGGAGCUCAAGGGACUGAAACAGGAGCAUUGUCUGCUGAGUCUGCAUAUUGGGGCCUGUGAAUCCAUCAUGAGGAAGAAAACCAAGCAGGACUUCCAAGAGCUCAUCAAGACUGAGCAUGCUCUGCUAGAGGGGUUCAACAUCCAAGAGAGUACCAACUAUACUGAAGAACACAUUGACCGGCAAGUGUCACCUAUAGAAAGCCUUCAUCUCAUGUGCCUUUUGUCCAUCACUGAGAAUGGUUUGAUUCCUAAGGAUUACCGAUCCCUGAAGACACAGUAUAUGCAGAGUAUGGCCCUGAGCACCUACUAACCUUCUCCAAUCUGCGGCGAGCUGGGUUCCUAACAGAGCAGGUUCCAGGGGAAACCCUCAUGGCAGUGGAGAGCAAAGUGAGCAAGCUGGUGACUGACAAGGCUGCAGGAAAGAUUACAGAUGCCUUCACUUCUCUUGCCAAGAGGAGCAAUUUUUGUGCCAUCAGCAAAAAGCUUAAUUUGAUCCCACGUGUGGACGGCGAGUAUGACCUGAAAGUGCCUCCAGACAUGGCUUACGUCUUCAGUGGGGCCUAUGUGCCCCUGAGCUGCGGGAUCAUUGAGCAGGUGCUGGAGCGGCAGAGCUGGCAGGGCCUCGAUGAGGUGGUACGACUGCUCAACUGCAGUGAGUUUGCAUUCACAGCCAUGACCAAGGAAGAUAGGCUUCCAGUGAGUCCCUGCGCCUCGUCUUGGUGGUGUUCUUAGGUGGUUGUACAUUCUCUGAGAUCUCCGCCCUGAGGUGUGUAGGCAGAGAGAAAGGAUACAGGUUCAUUUUUCUGACGACAGCUGUCACAAACAGCACUCGCCUUAUGGAAGCCAUGAGUGAGGUAAAGGCCUGA